rnacentral:lncRNA from 1 species
UUAUAUUUUUAUUAAUUAUUAUUUUCAUUCAUAAUUUUUGUUAAAGUUAAAAACAUGUUCCUUUGACCCCUCGAUCGCCACGCCUGACCGACGCACCACCGCGCGGCCCGACGGCUCCGGCGGAAGGCUCGGUGGUGAACGCUUUCGACUCUGCCCUUUCUCUCCCUCCGAGUCACAAUCGAGCCCUAACCGCGCGGCCUCCAUCUUCGCAGUCACCGAAUCGCAACGAAUUUAGAGGAUUUACACUGACGACGCCGCCCCGUUGCCUCCAUCUCCGUCUCGAAAGCCUCGAAAGGUAUGAUCUGGGUAAUCGUUCGACCAAGCCCUAACCGCGCAGCCUCUGCCUCCGCCUCCGCCUCCCCGAAUCUUGACGAACUCAGAGGGUUUACACUGACGACGUCGCCCCGUUGCCUCUGCCUCCGCCUCAAAAGGUACGAUUAGGGUAAUCAUCCAACCAAGCCCUAACCAUGCGGCCUCUGCUGCCGCCGAAUCUCAACGAACCCAGGGGGUUUACACUGACGAUGCCGCCCCGUCGCCUCCGCCUCCGUCUUGAAAGGUAUGAUUAGAAUAAUCGCCGACUCGUGGACUAUAGCCUCUGUACAUUAGAAUGAUUAUUGUUUAACUCGUGGACUAUAAGCUCUGUACAAUAGAAUAGAAUGACUAUAAGCGGAUUAUUGUCUAACUUCUGUAUUUUAGAAUGAUUAUUGUUUGACGAGGUUUACACUGACGACGUCGCCCCGUUGCCUCUGCCUCCGCCUCAAAAGGUACGAUUAGGGUAAUCAUCCAACCAAGCCCUAACCAUGCGGCCUCUGCCGCCGCCGAAUCUCAACGAACCCAGGGGGUUUACACUGACGAUGCCGCCCCGUCGCCUCCGCCUCCGUCUUGAAAGGUAUGAUUAGAAUAAUCGCCGACUCGUGGACUAUAGCCUCUGUACAUUAGAAUGAUUAUUGUUUAACUCGUGGACUAUAAGCUCUGUACAAUAGAAUAGAAUGACUAUAAGCGGAUUAUUGUCUAACUUCUGUAUUUUAGAAUGAUUAUUGUUUGACGAAUGGAAAGCUUCCUCCAUCUGUGGAUUUCGCAUGCAUGUGUAAGUAUGUUUAAAGCUGUUACGCGUGAAUUCAUGUCGUGCUUCUGGUAUAAUACAAUCGUGAGCCCAAGUAAUUCACAUCUUUGGCAAUCUUUUAAUUAGACACGUUCGGUGCAGAUGAUGUUUGACCUUUAAUUAGAAGUUGAAAAUUUGUGUGAAGCCAUCCUUAUAUUAUGUUUGCAUACCUAGGAUUUAGCUAUUUACUU